UACCCGCAGCACAAGUGGUGGUCAUUAUUAUUGGGCCUAAAGCGUCCGUAGCUGGCCUGUUAGAUGCCUGGGUAAAUCGAUGCGCUCAACGUAUCGAACUCCGGGUAGACCGGCAGGCUUGGGACCGGGAGAGGCGUGAGCUACUCGAGGGGUAGGGGUAAAGUCCUGUAAUCCUUCGGGGAGGACCAGUGGCGAAGGCGUCACGCUAGAACGGCUCCGACAGUGAGGGACGAAGCCCUGGGGCGCAAACCGG
rnacentral:rRNA from 1 species